UUUAUACCCCCUCCGUCUGGAAAUACUCACAGGAAUGAAUGUAUCUAGAUGUAUUUUAAUUUUAGAUACAUCCAUUUUUAUUCAUUUGUGCGACAAGUAAUUCCGGACGGAGGGAGUAGCAA
rfam:Hordeum vulgare subsp. vulgare, WGS project CAJW01000000 data, contig: morex_contig_157701